rnacentral:rRNA from 1 species
GUGGGGAAUAUUGGGCAAUGGGCGCAAGCCUGACCCAGCAACGCCGCGUGAAGGAAGAAGGCUUUCGGGUUGUAAACUUCUUUUACCAGGGACGAAACAAAUGACGGUACCUGGUGAAUAAGCCACGGCUAACUACGUGCCAGCAGCCGCGGUAAUACGUAGGUGGCGAGCGUUAUCCGGAUUUAUUGGGUGUAAAGGGCGUGUAGGCGGGACAGCAAGUCAGAUGUGAAAACCAGAGGCUCAACCUCUGGCCUGCAUUUGAAACUGUUGUUCUUGAGUGUCGGAGAGGUAAUCGGAAUUCCGUGUGUAGCGGUGAAAUGCGUAGAUAUACGGAGGAACACCAGUGGCGAAGGCGGAUUACUGGACGAUAACUGACGCUGAGGCGCGAAAGCGUGGGGAUCAAACAGGAUUAGAUACCCUAGUAGUCC